rnacentral:rRNA from 1 species
CAUAACCUUUAGCUAAACCAGUAUUAAAGGCAACGCCUGCCCAGUGAAUAAUUAAACGGCCGCGGUACCCUAACCGUGCAAAGGUAGCGUAAUCAUUUGUCUAUUAAUUGUAGACCCGUAUGAAAGGCAUAAUGAGGGUUUAACUGUCUCUUUUAGUAAAUCAAUUAAACUGAUCUCCUAGUUCAAAAGCUAGGAUACCAACAUAAGACCAGAAGACCCUGUGAAACUUUAACUAAAAUAUUAAAGCCUAUAAUAACUACUUUAGGUUGGGGCGACCUUGGAAAAUAAAAAAACUUCCAUACACAUAUUAUAUAAUAAUAUAUCACCGGCCAACAAGCCUACAACGACCCAGCACAGCUGAUAAUUGAACCAAGCUACUCCAGGGAUAACAGCGCUAUCUUCUUCAAGAGCCCAUAUCAAAAAGAAGGUUUACGACCUCGAUGUUGGAUCAGGACAUCCUAAUGGUGCAACCGCUAUUAAGGGUUCGUUUGUUCAACGAUUAAUAGUCCUACGUGAUCUGAGU